UGGGGAAUUUUGGACAAUGGGGGCAACCCUGAUCCAGCAAUGCCGCGUGUGUGAAGAAGGCCUUCGGGUUGUAAAGCACUUUUGUCCGGAAAGAAAACGUCGUGGUUAAUACCCGUGGCGGCUGACGGUACCGGAAGAAUAAGCACCGGCUAACUACGUGCCAGCAGCCGCGGUAAUACGUAGGGUGCAAGCGUUAAUCGGAAUUACUGGGCGUAAAGCGUGCGCAGGCGGUCCGCUAAGACAGAUGUGAAAUCCCCGGGCUUAACCUGGGAACUGCAUUUGUGACUGGCGGGCUAGAGUAUGGCAGAGGGGGGUAGAAUUCCACGUGUAGCAGUGAAAUGCGUAGAGAUGUGGAGGAAUACCGAUGGCGAAGGCAGCCCCCUGGGCCAAUACUGACGCUCAUGCACGAAAGCGUGGGGAGCAAACAGGAUUCAGAUACCCUGGUAGUCCACGCCCUAAACGAUGUCAAC
rnacentral:rRNA from 1 species